rnacentral:rRNA from 1 species
UGCAGUCGAGUGCGCAGUUCCCUGUAGCAAUACAGGGGAUGGGCGCACGGCGCACGGGUGCGUAACACGUGGGUAACCUGCCCUCCGAUGGGGGAUAACCCCGCGAAAGCGGGGCUAAUACCGCAUAACAUUCCGUUGAUUUCGAUUGACGGACUCAAAGCCCGCAAGGGCGUCGAAGGAGGGGCCCGCGCCCGAUUAGCUAGUUGGUGAGGUAAUGGCUCACCAAGGCGAUGAUCGGUAGCCGGUCUGAGAGGACGAUCGGCCACACUGGAACUGAGACACGGUCCAGACUCCUACGGGAGGCAGCAGUGGGGAAUCUUGCGCAAUGGGCGAAAGCCUGACGCAGCGACGCCGCGUGGGGGAUGAAGCCCUUCGGGGUGUAAACCCCUUUCGACCCGGACGAAUCGCCCGCAAGGGAAUUGACGGUACGGGUAGAAGAAGCCCCGGCUAACUACGUGCCAGCAGCCGCGGUAAAACGUAGGGGGCCAGCGUUGCUCGGAAUUACUGGGCGUAAAGGGUUCGUAGGCGGUGCGGCAAGUCGGAAGUGAAAUCUCAGGGCUUAACUCUGAGGCUGCUCCCGAAACUGCCGUGCUCGAGUGCGGGAGAGGCGAGUGGAAUUGCAGGUGUAGCGGUGAAAUGCGUAGAUAUCUGCAGGAACACCAGUGACGAAGCGGCUCGCUGGACCGCAACUGACGCUGAGGAACGAAAGCUAGGGGAGCAAACAGGAUUAGAUACCCUGGUAGUCCUAGCCCUAAACGAUCAGGACUUGGGGUGCAUCUCGUUCGGGGUGCGUCCCGGAGCUAACGCGUUAAGUCCUGCGCCUGGGGAGUACGGCCGCAAGG